rnacentral:lncRNA from 1 species
CAAGCUAUCAAUUCCUCUACUCUUCGUUGUUUUUGCUGCAACAUAUGCUUCGACUUUCAGGACAUACUGAAAUAUUCAUUUUUUCAUUUCUACACCUCACAUUUAUAAUGUUAUUUUUCAGUUGUUGAAGAUUGUUGUUUCUUUUCACAAUAUAUUCAUUUUUGUGAUCACUAGCUCUAUUUGGUUAAUUAUAUGGUGUUGUAUUGUGAACGGGAGAUAUAUUUUAUCUCCCUUAAGCUUUAACGUGUUUGGAUUUGCUAUACUAUGAUUCUGUUAAACACGAUUACUAAUACAUUCUCUCUCAUUCACAAAAUUAAAUAUCUUGAAAAACAUUUAAAAUGAUAUAUUUUCACUUUAUAAACACAGCUAUUAUGAUAUUCAUCCGACGCGGGACUUGUUCGGAAAAAAAAUUUAAUUCACACUACACUAAUUCAAUUGUUUCAAUAUCAUUUCCAACACAGAUAAAUAAAAAUAUUUUUGGCAUAGCAAGACAACCAUAUAUAGAUUGUAAAUACUCCCUGCUUUCUAUUUUUCACAGGAAAAAAUUACUUCAUUUCAAAAAAUGUAUAUAAUGUUCAAUACAUCUAGAGAUAUAAUGAUAAAAAUAUUGAGGGCUAGGUAUAUAUGUAGCUACUCUUGUUGAGGUCUCAACGACUUCAUUUUCUUUCUAUUUAGAGUAUUUAAUAUGAGAGUUUUUAAAAUAAAGAUGAAGUAAAAAUUGACGAUCAUCUAAAAUAGCACAAAUUUUUGUGUUCAGCUUACAUUUUUUUCAUUCAAAGCUUUAUUAUUUAUUUGUUUAUUGUUCAAUUGCAUUUCUGCAAUUUUUUAUAAUUAAAUUAUUUGAAGUGUAUGAACUCAAUCAAUUAAUUUAUUUUUUGAGACUUGGUUUAUGGAGUGCUCUCAUUCUUUGUAUCAUUCAUAACCCCUCAAAAUGUUCAUUGUCUUUGUCUAUAUGAAAAAUUGUAAAUUUUAUAUUAUUUCUAUUUUUAUUUAGAAUAAUAGGAAUAAGAGUAAUGCAAAUUAUGCAAUAUGUUAUUUAGUUUUAUAUUAUAAAGGAAUAGUAAAAUUACAUUAAAAGGUAUUGUGUUUAUAACACGACUCGCAAUUCCCGUCCCAAACUUUGUUCGAGGGAGAUUUUCUCCUCGAUCUCGAUCUCUAAAAGAAAAUAUGUAGACCAAUGUCUUGACAUUGAAAACAAGAAAAUAACAUCAUAAAAAUAAGUGUAUGCAUCAUAUAUUGAAAUUAAUUAAUAUGUUUCUCCUAAUCUGUGCAUCUUGUGUAUAUCUCAGCAGCCGAUUCACCAGCGGGAUCUUCUAAUUCUAAUCCAUCAGGUACACAAGAUUCAUCAUGUUGAGGAAGUCAUAUUUUUUAUCCAAUUUUAUUGUCUUUGUUAAGCUAAUUAACUAUUGAAUUUGUCACUAAAUUGUAGGAACCGAAAAUUCCAUCAAGCUAUCAAUUCCUCUACUCUUCGUUGUUUUUGCUGCAACAUAUGCUUCGACUUUCAGGACAUACUGAAAUAUUCAUUUUUUCAUUUCUACACCUCACAUUUAUAAUGUUAUUUUUCAGUUGUUGAAGAUUGUUGUUUCUUUUCACAAUAUAUUCAUUUUUGUGAUCACUAGCUCUAUUUGGUUAAUUAUAUGGUGUUGUAUUGUGAACGGGAGAUAUAUUUUAUCUCCCUUAAGCUUUAACGUGUUUGG